UACGUAGGGUGCAAGCGUUGUCCGGAAUUAUUGGGCGUAAAGAGCUCGUAGGCGGUCUGUUGCGUCGGCUGUGAAAACCCGGGGCUCAACCCCGGGCCUGCAGCCGAUACGGGCAGACUAGAGUUCGGCAGGGGAGACUGGAAUUCCUGGUGUAGCGGUGAAAUGCGUAGAUAUCGGGAGGAACACCAGUGGCGAAGGCGGUUGCCUGGAGCUUUGCUGACGCUGAGGCGCGAAAGCGUGGGGAGCGAUCCGG
rnacentral:rRNA from 1 species